AGAAGGAAGAAUGGAAAUUGUAAUAACAAAAUCCUAAUUCUAAUAGAAUACUAACAAUGCUCUAAUUAGACUAUAAUAAUGCUAAGCAAGCUUAAUCAAAUUCAAAAAAAACCUCAAAGAAAUUUCAAACAAACAAUAAGAAUUCUUAAAGAAAUAUUAGAAGGAUCACAAAUAUUACUCAAAUAUAUCUCAAUUCAAUCUUAAUUUAAUUCUAGUUAAAAUCCUAUUGAACUUCAUUCAAACUUUAGGUCAAAACUAAUUGAAUCUUAAAUCCUAAUAAAAUCCUAAACCUUGAAUCAAAUCCUAAACAAAUCUUAAACCAAAUCCCAACCAAAUCCUAAACCAAAUCCUAACCAAAUUCUAAACCAAACCCUAAACCCUAAAUCAAAUCCUAAUCCAUAUUCUAAAUCCUAAAUCAAACCCUAACCAAACUCUAAACCCUAAAUCUUAAACCAAAUCCUAAUUAAAUCCUAAAAAAAAUCCUAAAAAAAUCCUAAAUCUUAAAUAAAACCCUAAUUCAAAUCCUAAAUCCUAAACCAAACCUUAACCAAAUCCUAAACCAAAUCCUAAACCAAACCCUAAACCAAAUCCUAGUAAUUCCUACAACAAAUUUAAACCUCAAUAACUAAUGAAUAAACCGUUGAUCUUAAUUCAAAUUUUACAUACUUCUAAAAAAAUAAGUUAAAAACAAGCACAAAAAAAUUGAAAAGGAUCAGAGUUAUCAAAUUGACGAUAACCUCAAAAAUGAGCUCAAGUAUUGGCCAGCCUCCAUCUCUAAUCUUGAUGCCAAUCUUCCAGAGUUAAUAUCUCUCCUUUGUACCAUUCGAUUGAUCUCAAAAUUCUCACACACAUAGAAAAAUAAGUCUAAUAUCCUAUUGAAGAAACACAAUAAGUAAGACACAAGUAAGUAGAAAUCAGCAAGGUUAGACACAAGAGAAGUGUGGAAUAAGAUGCCUCUCACUUCCAGCACCCUUUACUUAUAGGUAGAGGUUACAUCCAUUUUGGCUAGUAUUCAUCUUACUUUCAUCCAACUAAACCCUAGAAUCUUCUUAACUUAGCUGUCACUUUAAAUCCUAGCUGCCACCUAUGAUCCUAGCUGCCAUCUAUAACCCUAGCUGCCACUUAUGAUCCUAACCACCACCUUGGUAACUUUUCUUCAUCUUUUUGAUGUCCUUUGACCAUUAGCAACUUAUCUAAGAUAAUAUCUUUUACCUUCUAUCUUAUCUUCCAUUUACUUUAAUACUCCUACUUUGCUAUUUGUCAAAGGCUAAUAAACGUAAUUCCUUUGUCAAUUUGUGAUGUCUAACCUUCACGAGUACUUUUGUGAAUAAAUCAGCAAGCAUGUCUUCUGUUGCACAAUAUUUUAUGUCAAUUACUCCCAUCUCAAUCUUCUCCCGUAUGAAGUGAUGUUGAAUGUCAAUGUAUUUUGUCCUUGAAUGAUGCUUUGGAUUCUUUGCAAAAACAAGGCAUCCUUGAUUGACACAUUUCAUUGGAGUUGCUUCCAAUUGCACAAGUCUAAUGUCUUCUAAAACUUAUCUUAGCCAAAUUACCUCCAUUGCACCAUGACUUGUUGCCAAGUAUUCCACCUGCAUUGUAGACCUUAUAAUUGUUGGUUUUCUCUUAUAAUUCCAUGAAAUUUCUCCCACUCCUACAAAGAAUACAUAUCAUGUUGUUGAUCUUCUAUCAUUUGCAUCUCCAGUCCAAUCCGCAUCAUAAUAUCUAUGCAAUGUAAUACUAUCACCUCCAAGACACAAUUUGAAGUUCAAAGUACCUUUUAAGUACCUUAAGAUCCUCUUAAUGGUUGCCCAAUGAAUUGGUCCAGCCUUUGAUAUGUGUUGACUCACAACGCUCACCGCAUAUGCAAGAUCCACCCUUAUACCAACCAUUGCAUACAUAAGUGAACCUACUGCUGCCUUGUAAAGAACAUCUUUCAUUUCUUCUUCAACUUCAGCAAAUUCCUCAUCCGUGAGCUUCAUCAACUUCAAAUUUGCCUCCAAAGGUGUUCCAAUAGACUUGCACUCCUCCAUGUUGAACCAUUUCAACACUUCUUCAAUGUACUUCUUUUGACUCAAUGUAAUGAUCUUUUUAGCUCGAUCUCUCAUAAAUUCCACUCCUAAGCAAUAGUGGAGCUCUCUCAAAUCACUCAUUUCAAAUUCUUUUGCUAACUUUGCCUUCAACCAAUCCAUCUUUUCCAAAGUAUUGGUCAAAAUGAUCAAAUCAUCAAUAUAAAGAAUAACAAUCAGCAAAAAGGCUUUUGAUUGCAUCACAUACAUGGAAUGAUCAGCCUCACUCCUCACAAAUCCUUCAUUUACAAAGAAGGUGUCGAUACGUUGGUACCAUGUUCUUGAUGAUUGCUUAAGCCCAUACAAGGAUUUCUUCAACUUACACACAAGGUGUUGUUUGCCUUCUUUAACAAAUCCUUGAGGUUGAUCCAUGUAGAUGUCUUCUUCCAAUUCUCCAUUCAAGAAAGCCGUCUUCACAUUCAUUUGGUGCAUCUCCAAGUCCAUUGCUGCCCCAAUUGCCACAAUGGUUCUAAUGGUGGUGAAGUUGGCCACGGGAGCAAAUAUCUCAUUGAAAUCAACACCAGCAACUUGUGAGUAGCUUUUCGAAACCAAUCUUGCCUUAUACCUCACAAUAUUAUCCAUUACAUCCCUUUUGGUUCUAAACACCCACUUACAACCAAUUGAAAAUCGAUUUGGUGGAAGUUGAGUCAAUUCCCAUUUUCCAUUAUCCAUGAGUGAUUUGUAUUCUUCUUUCAUAGUAUUUUUCCACUUCAUAGCAUCUGUGGACUUCAUUGCAUGACAUAAACUCAAUGGAUCAGCAAGAAAUAUAACAUUGGCAUAUUUUUUACUUACUUGAGGAAAAAUAUGGUCCUUCUACUAUUCACCACGUUGUUUUCUAUCUCUCAAAGGAUAUCUCUUUUCAUUUGAAGAAGACUCAACUUCUUACACUCCAUGGUCACCUCCAACCUUCUUUUUUUUUGAAGAUAGUCUUUUCUCACUCAAAAGUUCAUAAUCCUCAUCAUCAUCAUCAGCAACAUCUUCAUGCUCUUUAUUGCUAGUCUUAGCAAUUGUAGAGGCCUUCUUAUCCACCUUCUUUGUCUCUUCAUCUUCAUUUCCAUCUUUACAACCAUCAUUGUCUUUGUCUUCUUCUUUCUUUGCUGAAUUUGAAGAUGUAUCCACAAACACACCAUUACUCCCACUUGGAGACAUCUCCAAGUACUCACAAGCACUCUUGUGCUCCAAAAACUCAACAUCAUGACUUUUGAUGAUCUUUUUAGUCUCCAAACACAUGAACCUAUAAGCCUUUGUACCUUCACAAUAUCCAACAAACACACAUUUUGUACCUUUUGUAUCAAAUUUUAAUCUCAUACAAUCUGAUAUUUUUACAUAUGCUAUGCAUCCAAAGGUCCUCAUGUGAAAAAUACAAGGUUUUCUCCCACUCCAAGCUUCUUCCGGCAUCAUUGAUGUAAGUGCACUUAUAGGACACCUAUUUCUUGUGUAUAUUGCAUUCACCACUGCUUCCGCCUAAAACUCAUGUCUAAAAUAUUGUACAUGAAGCAUAUUCCUUGCCAUCUCCAUAAUGGUCCAAUUUGCUCUUUCAGCAACUCCAUUUUAUUGUAGAGUGUAAAGAGUGGAGGUUUGUCUUGCAAUACCAUACAACUUUAAGAAAUCAUUCAAUUGCUUUGACAUAUACUCACCUCCAUUGUCUGUAUACAAUACCUUGAUUUUGCAUUCACAUUGCUUCUCUACAAGUGCCUUAAACUCUUUGAACCUUGUGAAAUACUCAGUCUUUAUUUUGAGGAUAAAAAUCCAUACUUUCCUUGAAAAGUCAUCAAUGAAUGUGAUAAAAUACCUUGCAACUCCUAUUGAUGGCAUCUUCAUAGGUCCACAAACAUCAAAAUGGACAAUCUCCAAUAACUUGGUUGCACUUGUUGCAACUCUACUUGGAAAUGAGGCCCUUUGUUGUUUGCCUUGAAUACAACCUUCACAAGUGUGAUUGCUCAUUUUACUUAUUCCGGAAGAAACCUCCCAGCAUAAACCUGUAUAGGAGGAUUCGAAUACAGGGAAUGACCAUGUAUAUGAGCUCUAAUUAUUAGAGUCACGCAAUUAACCGCUACUGCUGAAUGCUUACCAUAUCGAAGAACACUUAACUUUUCCUCCUACUGUCCACUCUCUCAUAUUAAUACAAUAACAUCCACGACAAUAAUUUCAGUAUCCUGUGUAAUUCACGAACACACAAGCAUAUCUCGAACCUUGGAACGAACAACUUCCAAUCCACAGAAUCUAAUCAAGAUAAUUCCUUCGAUUACAAUUCCUCUCCACUAAACUUACAACCUUGCGAUAAAUAGUGAUUGGAAACUUCCAUACAUCCUCAAUCUUUCACAACAAUUGAUAAACAGUGAUCCAUAAACAACUUUGUAAAUCAAACAUUAAUUCAUUAAAUCAAUUCUCUUCAUUAGAAUCAAUACUAAUACAAAAGAAACAAGAAAACUAAGAAGAAGAGAUAGCACCAAGCUUAUCCCCGGCUGAGUACUAUCAUAGUCUGGCAUUUUCUUCCCCUCUUCCAUCCUCCUUAUACUACCCCGAGAUACCAACUCCUAUACUACAGAUGAUAACUACUUUUCCUGACUAUUCAUCCAUUCUACCUGCUGAACCACCUUUUCAGCAGUUAUCUAUCCCUGUUUACACCAUACAUUAGAUAUCUACAUUCUGAAAAUAAUUACUUAUUCUACAUAGCCCCACUUCUAACUGUACAACGUCCUCGCAAACACUCAAUUGAUACCUAUCUAAAAAUUAUCUAACAAAACUCUACAAAAAUUGCGAUCUCUCUGGCCUAUCUAAUUAGUCAAUUGCCACAGUAUCUAUUAUUGGUUCCACUGAUUUUGAUUCCAACUACAAAUCUUCGUCCUCCUCCAAUCCUUUCAUCGGCUCUUGCCUCAACUGAGCUGAAAGAAUUCAUUAUACUUGCCCAGUUCACGAACUUGAGCUUCCAAUUUCAGGAUCUGGGCAUCUCUCAAUUCCAACUGGCGUUGAAAGUGACUCCUCUCUUCUGGAACUUCGGGAACUGGCAAUGUCAAUACUUGUGCUUGACCAAUAUUGACUAAAUCCUCUGCCAAUCUUGUCACCUCGGCAUUCAAGGCCUCAAUUUCAGCCCUUAACUGCUCCGUUUCACAUCUGUAUUGGUCACUCAAUACCAAUUUUUCUUGCGCCAAUAACUCGGUCUUUUUUCGUUCCAUUACCAGCUGACCCUUUACUUUUUUCAGUUCCAAAAUUGAAUGACUGCGAGCGCGGAAUAGUUCUUGCAUGUGGGUCUACACCAUGCGCUCUCUUUCUUUGUCCCAAGCUUCUUGUUGUUCUCCAAUUUGUCACUCCAAUAGCAGCUUGGAUUCCGCAUUCGCCUGGAUGAUCCAUUCUUGCUCUUCAAUUCUUCGUGUCUGCUCCGAUAUCACCUUUUUGCUUGCCUCUAAUUCUAGUUUACUACUGCCCUCUACAUCCAAUGCUCGUACCAUACAAUAUAUUUACAAAAUGCACUUCAAUAAAGAAUUUUUAAGAUGUACACCUUCCGACAGUCGGCCUUGUAGAAACGCUAACUGAUUGAUAUCUAACAACAUCGAGACUUCAUUCUACUCCUCCACCACCGAAUGAAUCGAAUCCGUUUCCGGUGCCACUAGAUGAUUGGAUUCCCCAAUUUCAUGUAUUACCUCCGUUGUAUUGUCAUUCUGUGCCAACGAAUUCCGUUUUCAUUGCGGAGGCACUAGCAUUGGUUCGGAACUUCCUUCUACUGGUGAUGUUUGCCGCAAUGUAUACGCGAUCACAUCAUACACAUAAUUGGAACAUAGCAACGCUGUAAACUUUCCUAUUUUACACUUGGCUCCCAUUUUCGCAUGAAUACGGGUUGCUACAUAAGCUACCCAAUUGAACACCAUCCCUUCAAAUGUCCCUACCACUGCAAACAUUAACCGUUUUGAUAUAUAUGUGUUGUGUCGAUACAACCCUAGACGCCUCAACACAAAGCGCAACCAUUCCAUGAGCUUUUGUGUAAUUGCCUCAGCCGUCUGCCAAUCUUGGUUCUUCUCAAAUGAUGACAUGCCACUUUUGAAAUAACUUCCCGGUCAAAAGUCACUGGACUUUUCAGCACCCACCGCAAUCUCUCCUACUGGAAGAAACAGUACUUUUUCGAGGAUCUUCUCAUCAAUAUCGAUAAUGCGUCCUUGUAUUACACUCAAUCUAUCCCGUGGAUCAUAGUUUGCGAUGUAUUCUUCCACUAAUGCCAAAUUAAUUGAAGGCAAACUAUCUGACCUUUGCAAAAACUGAAACAUUUACGCGUUUCAAAAAUCUCAUAUUUUCCUUAGCGUCCAACAAAUCUCCAGCUUCAUAGGCUCUAUAUUGGUAACGAUUACUAUGGAUGGUGGCCCUAAAUUACGUUUAGCUUUCACAUUUCGACCACUUUCCUCUCUGUCCGUAGCUCUCUUUGCACUCUCCAUCGCCAUGAUGCACAUUCUUUCAAGCUCUAACCGUCAAUACUACGUUCUAGUACUCCGAAACAUCCAAAAUUGUAACAUCGAAAAGAAACAAUAACAGAAUGCGACAACUGAGAAUGACCGUAAAUGGAUGCCCCACUCCUAUUUUUUUACCUAGUGGUGAUAACAACAACAUGUUACUCCUACUGUCCGUUUCUCACCCCCAUCCCAUCAGACACAUUAGUAAUUACUAACUAUCUUUUCAGCCACCUCUACACCCUAACUCACUUAAUUAUAUCUAUCCUAAGUACAUUCGACGUGACCUCCUCUAGAAAUUGAAAACCCGUCCCGAGUUUUAUGUAUGAUAUAAUCAUAAUCGGUUCCCGUUAAUGCGGGUACUGAAUCGAUGACUCAUGAAAUCUUCCAAUUGAACAGACCUAUUAGAAAACCCUUCAAUCAAACGAUAUGGCCCAUGCCAACGAACUUGAAAUUUGCCCGAAAAAUGAUUAAACCUGCUAUCAAAGAACAAUACCAAAUCAUUGGGCAUAAAACUCUUCGGAUGCAGUUUACUAUCAUAAUAACUCUUUCGCCGUUUUUGAGUUGCUUCCAUGUUGAAGAGAGUUGUAGCCCGUAUUUCAUCCAAUUUGUCCAACUCUGCCAACUGAUAUUGAAGUGAUUCCUUAUCUCGAAGACGUUCAUCCAAUGCAAUGUGCAAACUAUGAAUUUCCAAUUCAAUGGGUAAUAUUGUUUCUUGCCCGUACACCAAUUGGAAUGGUGUGGAAUUGGUAGUCACUUUAUAUGGAGUACGAUACGUCCACAAUGCCACAAAUAAUUUAGUAUCCCAAUCCAUUUCUGCACCCAAAAUUAUUUUGGUUAAAAUCUUACAUAGAAUACCAUUGGUCUUUUCCGUCUGUCCAUUGGCCCAAGGAUGAUAUGGUGUUGUUUUCCUGUACUUGAUUUCGUAUGUGUUCGUCAAGGCUACUAUGGUAGCAUUUAUGAAAUGGGUGCCGCGAUCGCUAACCAAUUUCUUUGGACAUCUAAAUUGAGUAAUAAUAUUCUUGUAUAGAAAUGUGGCCACCGUACUGACAUUAUCAUUGCGGGUAGCAAUAGCCUCCGCCCAUUUGGUUACAUAGUCUGUGGCAACUAAAAUAUACUACUUUUAUCCAUGUCUCGAUGCUGGUGCAAUGGGUCCAAUAAAAUCAAUUCCCCAUUUCUCAAAUGGUGCCUGUGCCAAGAUUGGUACUAACGGCAUCGCUGAAGUACACGUGGAUCGACCAAUUCGUUGACAGGGAUCACAACGACGAACAAAUUGGUGCGCAUCAAAAAACAUUGUGGGCCAUCAAUAUCCAGCCAUUAAAGCCUUGCGAGCAGUACUAUCUCCCGCAAAAUAUCCACCACAACUAUCCAAAUGACAUCCUUCCAAUAUUGUACGAACUUCACUUUGAAAGUUGCAACGGCGUAAAAUUCCAUCCCGUCCUUGUUUGUACAAGGCAUCUCCAAUCAUGGUAUAUGGCGCACUUUUUAAAAUCAGACGCUUCUUUAGUUUUUUAUUAUAAGAAAUAGAAAAAAUCUAAAACGUUAGAUAUUGGAUCAAUUCACCAUAUUUGGGUGUAAUGACAUCCACAACGAAUAGUUGUGCAUCCGAAAGAGCAUCAUUUAUCGGCUCAUUAUUCAGUAUAUUAGAUAAACUGGAUAAGUGAUCCGCAUUGGCAUGUUUCUUGUCGAGUCGAACGUUAAUUGUAAAGUUGAAUUCUUGUAGAAGUAACAUCCAUCGAGCAAUUCGUUUAUUCAAUUGAGGUUUAUUUAUCAUGUACUUAAGCACAUCAUGAUCAACGUAGAACACAAAUGAGUAUCCAAGUAGAUAGUGGCAAAAUUUUUGAAUAGAGUAGAUCAUUCCGAGGGCCUCUCGCUCGGUAGUAUUAUAAUUUCAUUCUGUAGCAACGAAUUGUCGACUCGCAUAAUAUAUGGGAUGAUCUAAACAUUUUUCAUCCUUUUGACUGAGAACGGAUUCAAUAGCAAUAUUGGACACGUCCAUGUAGACAUGAAACGGUUUUGUCCAACAAGAUGUUACAAGAAUUGGGACAGAUACCAAUUUCCGUUUCAAUUCGUCGAAUGCAAAAGUACAGUCUUCAGUCCAUAUUGGGCUAGACUCAUCUGAUGGAGGUUUCUUUAACAAGUGGGUUAACGGUUGACAGAUAACCGCAAAGAAUUCAAUAAAAUGUCGAUAGUAGCUGACAUGGCCGAUGAAACUACGCACGAUCAACACCGUAUCUGGCUUUGAUAAUCCCAAUAUAUGAGUAACUUUAUCGGGGUCCAUAGCGAUACCUUCAACAAAGACAAUGUGUCCCAAUAGCUUUCCCGAUGGUACGCCAAAUUGAUACUUCUUCAAAUUUAGAGAUAUCCCAUACUUGUCGCAUUGAUUCAAACAGUUAUCCAAGCAUGCUAGAUGUUCAGCCGUUGUACUAAAGGUGCAAAAAUCGUCCAGAAAUAUCUCUAUUGAUAAACGUAGGUAAUCUUUAAACACUUGUGUCAUUACCCGUUGAAAAGUAGCCGGGGCAUUACAUAACCCAAAUGGCAUUACUUUAUAGGCGAAUGUGCCCCAAUCUGUGGUAAACGUAGUCUUCAACUAGUCUUCUUCAGCAAUUUUAAUUUGAUUAUAUCCCAAAAAUCCGUCCAAAAAUGAGUAACAUUCAUGUCCGGCCAUUGCGUCCAAAAUACUAUUUGUAAAUGGUAACGAAAAAUAGUCCUUCUUAAUAGCCGCAUUUAACUUUCAAAAAUCUUGACAUAUCCUGAUUUUUCCAUUCUUCUUCGAUACCAUCACGAUUGGUGACACCCAUGUACUAUGCGGAAAAAGAUAAAUAAAAUCCAUAUCGAGAAGUUUAUCCAAUUCCUCUUUCACUAAAAGAGAAUAUUUUGGAUUAAGGCGAUAUUGUCUUUGACAAACUGGCAUAACACCCUCCUCUAGAAUAAUCUGGUGCUCACACACGUCGACUGGAAUCCCUUUCAAAUCCACAUACGACCACGCAAAGGUAGAUUUGUGAUAGACAAAAAAUUAUUUUCAAGCAUCCAAUUCUGUAUCGAUAAUAUUGACAUAUACUUUAAUUAGCUGUGGUAUUUCAUUGGUGCCCAGGUUAAUAGAUUGACACAUAGGGUCUUCAACAACCUCUGAUUUAAUUGUCUUCUCCUGAUCUGAAUUUCUUGUAUUAUCUGACAUAUGGGAACCACCCAAAUCUGGUGCCAAUGUGCUGACUCUAUUCACUACGAAAUUGUUCAUCCAGUCGACAAGAGUAUAAUCUGAGUUAGUCACAUCCUCCUGAUGUAGUAAAUAUUUGUCGGGACUUCCACAUUGGUAGCCUUUGCCUUUGCUGUUGAAGUGUUUUGUCCUACCCCAAAUUAUGGUGAACCUAUAGCAUCGUCAUUUGCCUCAAUCAAUUGACUCUCAUUGUCCAAUGUAAAUUUUGAUUCUGACAAUUGAGAUUCUUCAAGAUAUUGUACUAGAUACAUCUCUAGAACAAUCUGAUCCCUACAUUUUCAAAUUGUCAAUGUGCCUCGGCUCCAAUGGUUCUUAGCUUUGGUUUGAUAAAGCCAAGGUCUGCCCAAUAAAAUGGGAUACGAUAACAUAGAACUCUGUAAUCGGAAUACAAUAUAAUCGAUUUUGUAUGUCAAUCCCGCGAUUACAAUGGCAAUAUUGCAUAAGAUUUCUAUUGGCUUUAUCCGACUAUGAUCUGUUAUUCGCAAGACCAAUGUCGUAGGUAGUAAUUGCUUUAGAUCCAAGUCCUCCAUUGUAUCUGCAUUCAUUAAAUUCACACUGGAGCUACCAUCGACUUGUAUCCCUGGAAUUAAAAUGCCAUCGAUUGAUACAUCAAUUGUUGGUGCUCCCGGAUCUGGGUUUAAGCUAACUUCAUGAAUUUCUUUAGUGCGAGAUCUUCGUCGUAUUAACGCUGAAUUCAAUGUAGAUCGACAUUCCGGUGCUACAGCCAAAAGUUGCUUCAUUGUAAUUGAAGGCUGAAUAACAUCCAAAUUCCUCAGAAUGUCGUAGGGUUCCAUAUUGAGAAUAAUUUCCAAUGCUCUUUUGUGUUUCAUUGGUUUUGAUUUUACUCCGUUCGACAGCAAUUCUUUCCUGACGAUUGAGAUUACCGUUGGUAACUUUGUCAACUUGUCUACCACUAAAGAUUCCUUUAAUGUGUAAGAUCUUUUAUUGGGUUGUACAGGUAUUGGUACUUGGUCAGUUGGGAUCGAUCUUGAUGGUCCUGGCAAAUUGGCACGUGGGACCGAAUUGGGUUCCUCAAUCUGUUGAGUUCUCAAUAUUGAGAUACGUCCCAAUAUUGAUAUUGGUUCGUUUAGCCCCAUGGACGGCACUAUUUGCUCUCCUGCGAUUGGUUCAUCCAUGUCUUGAAUUAGAUUCUUGUCUUUUUGUUGGCCUCUGGUAAGCACUGCAUUCACCACCUCGAUACGAUGUACUGGUGAGUCUCAUUGAACAGGGCCUUUGUCCUUCGUCGGUUGGCUUGUUUGUAUUUGUUGGUCUCGAAUAUUAUAAUUAAAGGGUGCAUUGCAUUGCUGAUAAGUGUGACCAGACUGCUUACAAUUUCCACAUAUUGGAGCAUAGUCAUCAUUGAUCCUUGGAUUAGGACAUUCAUUGGCAUAAUGACCAAUUUGUCUGCAAUGAUAGCAAUGUAGUGGUCUCCUGCCAACUCCUUCACGGAUAUUGGGUGUCUCUAUGGGUAUAUAACGGCUAGGUCUGUUCCAUGUCGGAUGAGUAAAGGAUCCUGGUUGACCCAUUGUUACUGUAGAGUCUGGCAUUGGCUUCGUCAUGAGUGGAUAUUGAUGGUAUCCUGGUUGGUUCAUCGCCAAUCCGUGAAUAUUGGAUACACCUUCUUGGUGAAAUUCAGUGUUGAAGAAAUUAGAAUAAUUUUUGUUUUGUUUAUUCGCUCGAUUUCCAUUCCAGCCAAACUUAUUAUUCGUCUGCACUUGAUUGACAUCCCACAAAGUUGGUUGAGUCAUUAUCUGAUUACUGAGUUGUUGUUGCUUCUGUAAAUUCCAACAGUUGGUGGUAAUAUGCUUGCCUCCGCAAAAGGUAUAUUGUACAAUCAUUUGGGGUGGUGAAGGACAUUCUGUUACUAAAUUACCUUGCCCCUUACAAUUAAUGUACCAGACAUUGGGACGCAUAUUGAUUGGUUUAUGCUUUUUUUCUUUAUCCUUGGCCAGAUUCACAACCAAUUCAUCCAUUUUUUUUUGUCAAUGUUAACAGCAAUGACUCAUUGGGAUCCCUUGAUACCAAUGCAUUUGGUAAUUCCUUUGUAGGUAUUGGUUUUUGAUACAUGGAAUAAGGUGCAUAUGGGUGUGAUGAUGAUGGUGGUACAGCUUGCAUUGGAACGGCAUCCACUAUUCCCUGUGGAAUUGUACCAUAAUCAUUUCUUCCCAGAUAACUUCCCGAUGCAUCAUUCCAAUUUGUUAUUUGAUAACCUCCUUGAGAUGGAAUCAUCGUGGCUCCAACUGUUAAGUUAUGGUCAUAGUGACAUUCCUUCCAUACUUUUUUUCGCUCAAGAGAUGAUGCAAUGGUGGCUGAUUGGGCCUCUUUUACAAACAUUUUUAAUUCUGGUGGGUGUAGUCCAUUAACCAAUAUGGACAACACAAAUGAUUCUGGCAUUUGGUUAUUUGGCCAUUUUUGAAGUAUAUUUGCUAUACGACCAUAAUAUGAUUAUACUGCUUUCUCUGGUACCAUUGUGUUGUUCAUUAAUUUUUUUGUAAGACGUUCUUCAAAACCAAUUGGUCAAAAAUGGGCUAAAAAUGUAUUUUUCAAUGCCUCCCAAUUGAUAAAUUUUCCCACAGGUUGGCGGUUAUACCACUCAAAUACUGUAUCUUUCAAUGUCGUUGGCAGCCAUCUCAGCCAAAUAUCUUCUAUUCUUCCAUUAUUGGCUACACACUCCAUCAAGAAUUGAAACAAAUGUUGAUCUGGAUCUGCACCUGGUAAAUCCCGAAAAGAAGGUAAUGGCACGACGCUAGUCGUUUGAUUGCCCAUUGCACCCAUUUGAACUGCAAUCGGAACUGCUGGUCCUCUGGACAUCAUUAAAGAUGUUGGUGUUCCACUUAAUUUCUUAUUAAAAUAAAAAUUGUCUCCCGUAAAAGUCUUUUUCGGACUUCCAAGCCUUCCCGAUUGACUAUUAUUAUCUCCAAAUUAUUUUACUGGUUGAAUAUGAGGUGAAAACGAUAGGUUUUGAUAUACUCUGAAUUGGUCUUUAUUGGCAAGUGAUUUCUGCCGAUCUUCAGAACUAAUCUUGUUAGGAUUGGACGUAUUUUCAAUUGAGAAGAUACCCAGUGGAGUACCUAAUUUCUCUGUGCCUUCCUCGUUUUUCGUUAACGGCUUCAAGAGGUUUGCUGAACUAUUAGCAGCACUUUCCGUGAGUACUCUUGGUAAUUUCUUUAACGGUAUGUACUUUUGAAAUAUUAGAGAUCGAUCAUCUUCUGGGUACGAUCGAAUAUGCCGACAGGCAUGCAACCAUGGCUUAAUCCAACUUUGUCGAUGCUUCUUUUUUAAUUUGUGACCUCGCUCAUCACGCAACAAAUUUCUUGCUUGCGAUUGCUCUGUUCUUUCCUUUGAUUACUUUAUUCUCUUUGCUGUUAAAUUUUUAUUCUUAAUAACCAUACUCUUUCAUUAUUUCUAUUGAGUUUGCUUCCUAAUCUCCUUUACUGCUUCGACAGUUAAUUCCUAACACUCAAUAAUGUUGUUAAUCCCUGGCAGUGGCGCCAAAAUGUGAUUGUUCGUUUUACUUAUUUCGAAAGAAACCUCCCAGCAUAAACUUGUAUAGGAGGAUUCGAACAUGGGGAAUGACCAUGUAUAUGAGCUCUAAUUGUUAGGGUCAUGCAAUUAACUGCUACUGCUGAAUGCUUACCAUACCGAAGAACACUUAACUAUUCCUCCUACUGUCCACUCUCUCAUAUCAAUAUAAUAACAUCCACAAUAAUGAUUUCAGUACCCUGUGUAAUUCACGAAUACACAAGCAUAUCUCGAACCCUGGAACGAACAACUUCCAAUCCACAGAAUCUAAUCAAGACAAUUCCUUCGAUUACAAUUCCUCUCCACUAAACUUACAACCUUGCGAUAAAUAGUGACUGGAAACUUCUAUACGUCCUCAAUCUUUCACAACAAUUGAUAAACAGUGAUCUAUAAACAACUUUGUAAAUCAAACAUUAAUUCAUUAAAUUGAUUCUCUUCAUUAGAAUCAAUACUAACACAAAAGAAACAAAAAAACUAAGAAGAAGAGAUAGCACCAAGCUUAUCCCCGGCUGAAUACUAUCGCAGUCUGGCAUUUUCUUCCCCUCUUCCAUCCUCCUUAUACUACCUUGAGAUACCAACUCCUAUACUACAGAUGAUAACUACUUUUCCUCACUAUUCAUCCAUUCUACCUACUGAACCACCUUUUCAGCAGUUAUCUAUCCCUGUUUAUAUCAUACACUAGGUAUCUACAUUCUGAAAAUAACUACUUAUUCUACAACAAGCAAGUAUCACAGCAUUGUUGCAUAUGACCAAGAUCUAAGCCACUUACCAUGGAUUGGAGCUCUUUUAUGCUCUUGGCAUUCAAAUAACCAAGGCGUCGAUGUCAAAUAUCAAACUUGUCUUGAUCUUGAGAAAAUUCACCAAAUGUCGCCACUUCAACUCCAUUCAUCUUCUUACACUUGAUGAAGUAGAGGUUGCCAUCUCUAAAGCUCUUUGCAAUAUGAUCUCCUUUCAAUGUCUUCACAAAACACCCAUUCUUAUCAAAUUGUACUUUACAACCAUGUAAAACAAGUUUAUUCACCGAGAGGAGGUUUUUCUUCAUCUUUGGCACAUGUAAGACGUCUUUCAAUCUAAUCCUCUUGGUUUGGUCUUUCACAACAAUCUCUAUAACAAUGGAGCCCAUUCCAAUAGCUUGUACUAUGCCAUUGUCUCCCAUGAGGAUAUUUAUUAUUGAAAUCUCUUCAUAAGUGUCAAAUAAAUACUUGUAUGGAAUCAUGAGCUUGGUGGCAUCAGAAUCAAUGAUCCACUUGGACAUAGCAGCCAUAGAAGUACCUUCACUUGCCAUGAAUGCAUGAUCAUCACCUCCAUAUUCAUCACGAGCAUUGUUUGUACUUUCUCUAUCUCUUUUCUUAGCCUUGUAGCAAUUUCGAGCAAAGUGACCUGGUUUUCCACAAAUGAAGCAAGUUUUCACAUUACCACAUUGGUUAGGAUGACUUUUCUUGUUUUGCCUUGAAAACAGAGCCGAAUCCUCACUUUGGGGCUCAUUUUUUCUCCUCUUGGUCACUUCAUGGAGAAGUCUUGCCGUCACAUAAUCUAUUGUGAGUUCUUUUACUUUGAUGGAUUCCAAUACCACAAUGAGAUAGUUGUAGGACUCGGAAAGGCUCAUAAGCAAGGUCAUGACAAUAUCACUUUCUUUUAAAGGCUUGUCAAUAAUAGUAAGUUGAUUAGCAAGGGCUUUUAUCUUAUUGACAUGAGCCAUGAGGUCUUCACCUUCUUCCAUCUUAUAAGUGAAGAAUUUCCUCCUUGUGAAGAUGAUAUUAGAUAAGUUCUUACUCUCAUAUAUGUUGCAAAGAGUCUUCCAUGCUUUUGUUCGUCUUUUGCAAGAGAUGAUGUGAGAAAAGUUGGCUUCAUCCAAAUUAGUGGCAAUCAUACCAAAAGCCUUCUUUUCUCGUCUUGUGAAGUCCUUCCUCUCUUUAGCAUCAGUAUACGUGCUUGGAGGCUCUUCACUUUCAUCUACAAUGUCCCAAAGGUCCAAAGACGCCAACAAAAGCUCCAUUUUGACCUUCCAAUGGUAGAAAUUGUCACCUCUAAACUUCUCAAUCACUCUCAAACCUUCACCCUCACUUGAAUCCAUGUCUUAGAAGAGGUCUAUCAAAAAAUAUCAAAAAAAAGAGUCUCUAUGUGCUUAAAAUCACUAAAACAAUUUUGUACUAGCAAAAUCUCAGAAUGCCCUCUUGUGAACAAAUGAAUGUUUCUUCACUCCAAAUACUCCAAAAUCAACUCUUGAAGCUUCUUACAAGUAUGUGAACUCCAAUCAACCUCACCAUCAAGUUCUUCCACUCAUAAAACUCACUUUCUCACCACAAAAUCAAAGACACUAUGAAGGUCUUUAUAUAAGAUCUUAAUCACUCAAUCCUAAGAAUUAAGAACCUUCAAACUAAUGUAAGAGAUCUAUAAGGCCCAAAUCAAAACCUCCACAAGUCAAAACACCAGAUUAGAUCAUAAAAUCUCUAACAUCAACAAACACCAUAAGAUCUAUUCCACACAAGAACAACAACCAAUAAAUGACUUCAACUUACUUGAAUAGCACAACAAAGUGUGUGUGGGCCCAUAACCUAUUGAACAAACACAAUAAGCAAGACACAAGUAAGUAGAAAUCAGCAAGGUUAGACACAAGAGAAGUGUAGAAUGAGAUGCCUCUCACUUCCAGCACCUUUUACUUAUAGGUAGAGGUUACAUCCAUUUUGGCUAGUAUUCAUCUUACUUUUAUCCAACUAAAUCCUAAAAUCCUCUUAACCUAGCUGUCACUUUAAAUCCUAGCCGCCACCUAUAAUCCUAGCUGCCACCUAUAAUCCUAGUCGCCACUUAUGAUCCUAGCUGCCACCUUGGUAACUUUCCUUCAUCCUUUUGCUAUCUUUUGAUUAUUAGCAACUUACCUAAGAUAAUAUCUUUUACCUUCUAUUUUAUCCUCCAUUUACUUUAACAAUAUCUUCUUACACAAGUUUCACUCCAAUCCAACUAGUAGAUUGUAAGAAAUCUUAAAAACCCCCACUAGACCUAAAAUUCUACUUUCUGAGACCUUGACCCACUUAAACCUCAAUAUUCCUCGAUUCAACCGUUAGAUCGAGCUCAAAUUCAUGAUACAUAUUAAACACAACUAUAACCAUAAACCCACAAAAUUUCAUCCGUAGAUCUGCUACAAAGCUCUUGAAAUCAUCCAAAACAUAAAUCCUAUUUUAUUUCAUAAAAUCCAAGUCAUCCAAAACAAACCUUGACUUUGCAAAGCUCUUACAAAGUCAUAUCAACUCCAAAUCAUCCAAAAUCAAUGCCCAUAGAAAUCCUAUCCAAUCUUCUAUCAAACCUCUUUCUCUAAUCUGCCAAAGAGUCCCCGAGUCGUCGUCAAGACUCAGUUUUGUGCCUCAUGGUCUGAUUUCGACCCUGGUUCAUAACCGGCCCUCUCCGGGUAUCAACAUUUAGUUUUUUUAAGUAAUUUUUACUAGAAUUUAGUCUUAACUUCUUCCUAAAUAUGUCUAUAUCAUUUAUUUUUCUAAUCUAUCUUAUUUUGCCUUAUUUUUGGCCCUACAAAGUAAGUAGAAGCUAUUUUUUCUAAAAGAACAGCAUUACUACUAAAAUUUUUACUACCUUCCUAUCUUUUAUCCAUAUUUUUCUACCUUUUCUUUUAACUUCGCUCUUCUAUAAUAAGAUCCAUAUUAUCAUCUUUCACCAUAUAGUCAUGUUACAACACGACACCAUUAAGCACUUUCUUCAAUUCUUAAAUAUUCUUUUACCGUACUAUAUCUUUAUUAAUUUUCAUGGCCUUGUAAUGGUGCCUUAUCUAAUCGCUUACCACUUUUUUGACGUUUUAUCAUUGGAAUAUUUUAAUAGAUAUUAUAUGCUUCAAAUAUAAGAUUUUUUGACAAGUAAUAAUAUUAUAGUCAAAUAUGAUUUUUUGAGUAAGUAAUAAUAAAAGAUAUGAAAUAAGAACUCAAAUGCCUUCUGAUAUUGCAUGUUUUAUAUUCCACUAAUCAUAUAUCUUUCCUUCAAGUCAAAUAUAUUAGAAUUAAAAAAUCAAGGUAAUUUCUAGUAUUAUCAUGUCAUGAAUAUACAUAUAUAUUUUAAUAAAUAUCUAUAUGAUUAGAUAGAAGUAGGUAAAAAUAGAUAAAAAUAGAUUAAUUUUAUAAUAUCUUUCAGAAAAACUUCAUAGAAUCUUCAUAGAUGCUGCUUUAACUUUACAUGUAUUUGUAGUUGAUAUAUAGAUUAGAAACUUGGUGAAUAAGUUUACCACGUAUUGGUAGUUUGUAAAAGAAGCUAACUAUGUGGUGUACAUAUAGAAAACUUGCCUUGCAAGUUAAAAUAUAUAUCUUGCAAAGUCAACUUGUUUUAGAAGAUUUAUAGGAUAUUUCCAUGUAGCUCCUAGUUAAGAGUAUAUAUAAAGAUAACAGUAAAGCCUUCUUUACUCUUAUUAAUAUCUUUCUAGACUUUAGUCUUAUUUCAAGACUUUCUGAUCUUCUUGUUUUUGAUAAUAGCCAUUCUAGUUUGAUACUAUAUCAUCUUUGAGUGACUUUUUAGUUCUUUUCAGUGACAUAAGAGUGUAUUGAGGAUUUCUUUCUUUGAAAUUUAUAUCCUUGAUAAUUUGAAAAAAAUAUUAACUUACUAUUUUUAUCUUAUUUUAAAAAUUAGUAGAUUAUUUCACUUCUAUUUUUAUAUUUUAAAUGUUAUAAAUUACUUACUUUUAAACAAAAAAUCUUAUUUUUUAAAAUUUAUUUUUUUUAAAGCAAGUAGACUAUCUUUUUUAUGGAAAUUUUUAUUUAAUAUUAUAGAUUACAGAUUAUCUUCUUCUUAUUUAACUUUUUGAAUUUGUUUGAAUUUCUAUAAAAAAAAAAUUAUUGAUGCUAUUCUUGAAGGAAAUAAAUAUAGAUUUUGUAACUAUUGUAGAUCUUCAUGACCUUGUCAAUACUCUGAGUAGAAAUUUCACAUAUUUCCAACAUGAAUCAUAGAAAUAUUAUUCCUACUCCUAUAGAAGAAGUUCAAAGUCUACAUCAAGAAGUUGUAUAAUUGAAAGAAGUAAAUGGAUUGACCUCACAACUAAAUCCAUAGAAUUUUUCUUUUACAAGUAUGACUAAGACAAGAAUUAAUAUGCUUGAAAAGUUUGAUGGAAUAAGAUCAAAAUUUUGAAGAUUUCUAUAAUAAGUCAAGUUCUAUCUAAAGUUGUAUCUUUUUUAAUAUCCUUAUGGAUUUACUCAAGUCGGAUUCAUAGGCACACUUCUAUGAAGAAGUAUUCUCUCUUGAUUUGCACCUCAAUGAAAAAAUAUUUACAACUCUUUUAUAAUUUGAAUUCAUUCUUAGAAGUGUUUACAUCCACAUUUGGAGAAAAUGGUCAAAAAAGAAUAGCAAAGACAAAGCUCUUAUUAUUAUGGUAAAUAUCCUAGUCAUUCACCAUAUAUGCUAUUAAAUUCUUAAACUUGGCUUAUGUCAUGGACUAAAAUGACAAAGCCCUUAUCAAUCAAUUUUAAUAUGAAUUGAAGGAUAAUAUCAAAGAUUUAUUAUUGAUAAUAUCAAAGAUAAAAUCUUUGAAAUAAUUUAUUGCUCAAGCUAUUGCAUGCGAUAAUCAAUUAUUUGAAAGAUGUCAAGAAUAAAAAUUUGGUUGGAGAAGAAUAAGUCAAAUAUUGAUGGCAACUUUUAAGUUUUCAAAAACUUAUUUAUCAAGGCCAAAAUCAAUACAAAUUGAUAUAGUAUAUUUUAAAUCUCUCAUGGAGUAGAAAAAGACUUGACGACAUCAAGAGGGAUUUUGUUUAUAUUGUAGAAAAGCUAAACAUACUACUCAUCAUUGUCUAAAGAAACAAUGCAACUACAAAAUGAGAAGCAUGGUUGCCAAAAAAGACAAUGUGUUAAAAAAUGAGUUUUUUCAACUAUAAGAAGGACUAUGCAAUUGAAAUCUUGCAUAGCUCCUAAUAAAGGUCUUAUUCUUUCUUCAAACCUCUCACCUUCUUUUAUAAUAGAAGUUUAUUUAGGAAAAAAAAUCACAAAGUCUUAAUUUUGUUAGAUUUAAGAACCUUAGUCUAUUUCAUAGACAUAGAUUUUGUCAAAAAAUAAGAGAUAUUAUUAGUCAAAAAAACUAAAAUUGUUCUUUUAGAUAUAUUAAUUAAAAAUCACAAUAGCAUGGUUAUAUUUAAUAUAAUAAGAUCUCCAUCUAAUUUGGUUAUUUUAGGAUUAUUCAAGUUAAAAAAGUAUAAUUUACAGAUAGAUUGGAUUUUUUAUAAUCUUAAUUUUUGUCAUAGUUUAGUCCAAAAUCUUGUUAGUCAAGAAAAAAAUAUAUAAAUCUAAUACAUCCAAAUCCUUACUAGUAGGUAUAAGAACUUUCAUGCAUACCACAAAAGAAGAGUCACCUUUUGCUAUAUAUGCCACAUCUAUUUUUGAUGGUAAAAGAUGUCAAGUAAUAUUCUUAGCUAGUAUGAAGAUUUUCAAGAUAUUUUUAAAAUAAAAAUAUAAAUAUUCUUCUAAAACAUUGUCUUUGUGAUCGUUCCAUUGAUCUUCAUGAAAGAGCUCAACCACCAUUUGGACCAAUCUAUAACCUAUUACCAAAUGAAUUCGCUACACUUAAGGAAUUCAUUGAUAAGAAUUUGGCUAAAAAUUUCAUAUGCCAUUUUAAAUCUGCAGCGAAGGCUCCUAUCUUAUUUGUGAAGAAAAAAAAUGGUUGUUUGCAAAUGUAUAUAGACUAUGAAGAAUCUAAUAAGAUUACUAUUAAAAAUAGGUAUCCUCUACCUUUGAUUUUAAGACUUCUUGAUCAACUCAAUCAAUCAAAGAUCUAUACAAAAAUAAAUCUAAAAAAAAUAUAUAAUCUAGUAUGUACAUUAAAGAAGAAGAUGAAUAGAAAAUUGUGUUUUGAACUAGAUAUGAGAAUUUUGAAUGUAAUAUCAUGCCUUUUGGACUCAUGAAUGUACCAAUUACUUUUCAACAUUUAAUGAAUGAUGUCUUUUUUAAGUUUCUUAUUGAUUUUGUUGUCUAUUAUUUGAACAACACCUUAAUCUACUCUACAAACACAAAAGAGCAUUAAAUUCAUAUUUGUUGUGUGUUAUAAAAAUUUAAAGAUAUAAGAUUAUAUGCCAAGUUAAAAUAUAUAUAUAAAUAUAUAUAUAUAUAUAUAUAUAUAUAUAUAUAUAUAUAUAUAUUCUACAUUACUCAAGUUCACUUCCUAAGAUACAUGAUUUCCAACAAAAAACUAAUGAUGGAUCCAAAAAAGAUCCAAACAAUCAUCGAUUGAAGGAUUCCUAAAAUAAUAAGAUAUGUAUAAUGCUUUUUGAGCUUUGCCAAUUACUAUCAGAUCUUCAUCAAGAUUUUUUCUUAAGUUGCAGCUCCACUUACACGUUUGACUUAUAAAGACAAAUUUGAGUCAAAUAAAGAAGAUAAACAAUUAUUUGAUGCUUUAAAAAAAGAGUUUAUUUCUACACCAAUCUUAUAUUGUGUUGAAUUUUUUAAGGCAUUUUUUAUGGAAAUAUAUGCAUCAGACUUUGCCUUGGAUGUAAUAUUGUCAUAAAUAGGAGCAGAUGACAAACUCCAUCUAUUAGCUUUCUAUUCCAAAAGUUUUCAGUAAUUAAGAUUAAUUAUGAGCUCCACGACAAAGAAUUCUAUGCAAUUGUAGAUUCAUUUCAAGAAUGACAUCAUUAUAUAAAAGGUGCCUUGAGUCCAGUCAUUAUGUAUACAGAUCACAAGAACUUUGAGUGCUAUAUAUUAGCACAUAUUUUGAAUUAUUACCAAGCUUGUUGGAGCAUGUCUUUAUGAAGAUUUGAUUUCAAGAUUAAUUAUCGAUUCAAAAAUUAGUAAGGUUUAUUGAACAGUCUUUUUAAAUAUUCUUAUCUUACACUAAAAGAAGGAAAUACAUCUUUUGAUCAAAAAAAAAAAAAAAAAAAAAAAAAAAAAAAUUGAAGUCAAAGCAUUUUUACCUUUGAACAAUAAAAUUAAUAUUAAUUAUUGAUUCAACAUUUGUUAAGCAAAUUCAAUUAAGUAUAUCUUCUAAUUCUCUUCUUGAUGAUAUUAAGAAUAAUUCUUCUAAGUUUUACAAUACUUCUAAUUUCAAGUUUAAAAAUAAUCUAUUCUACUUUAAGGGACAAUUAUACAUUCCAAAAGGCAAAGUAUAAUUACGUUGUCGUAUUACGUGAAGUUUGGCUAGAAAAUGCACCAAAUACCAGAUUAUGGAAGAUAAAAAGAAAAUUGCAACAACAAGUCCUAACAACUCUAAUAGAUUCUUAAACAAAUUAUAAUUAAAUAUUAACAAAUAUAAUCAAACAUCAAUGAAAUUUAAUUAAAAUUUCAAAAGAUUUAUACAAAAAAUACAAAAAAUUCCUAAAGAUCCUUUAAAAAAAUCAUAAAAAAUAACAUAGAAAUUCAAUAUAUAUAUAUAUAUAUAUAUAUAUAUAUAUAUAUAUAUUAAAAUAGAAAUCUGAAUAAAACAUUAAAAUAAAAAUCUUAAUUAAACCUUAAUCAAAAUUGAGUCAAAUCUUAGUCAAAUUUUAGUCAAACCUUAAUCAAAUAUUAGUCAAAACCUAGUCAAAUCUUAGUCAAAUCUUAGUCAAAUCUUAGUCAAAUCUUUAUCAAAACCUAGUCAAACUUUGAUCAAAUCUUAGUCAAAUCUUAGUCAAAUCUCAAUCAAAUCUUAAAUAAGUCCUAACCAAACUCAAUACAAAUCCUAGUCAAAUCCUAAUUGAAUCUUGAUCAAAUCCUAAACAAAUCUCAAGCAAAUUCUAAUCAAAUCCUAAAUAAAUCUUAGUCAAAUCUUAAAUAAAUCCUAAUCAAAUCCUAAAUGAAUCCUAAAUAAAUCCUACUCAAAUCUUAAAUAAAUCCUAAAUAAUCUCUAAUCUAAAUCAAUUCCUAAUCCUAACCAAACCUUAAAUUAAUCCAAAAUCCUAACCCUAAUCCUAAACCAAAUCCUAAACCAAAUCCUAAUCAAUGCCAAGUAAUUCAUAUAGCAGAUUUAAACCUCAAUAAUUGAUAAAUAAACUAUUGAUUUUAAUUCAAAUUUUGUACACUUCUUAAUAAUUAAGUUG
rnacentral:lncRNA from 1 species